GAUGAACGCUGGCGGCGUGCCUAAUACAUGCAAGUCGAGCGAACAGACGAGGAGCUUGCUCCUCUGACGUUAGCGGCGGACGGGUGAGUAACACGUGGAUAACCUACCUAUAAGACUGGGAUAACUUCGGGAAACCGGAGCUAAUACCGGAUAAUAUAUUUAACCGCAUGGUUCAAUAGUGAAAGACGGUUUUGCUGUCACUUAUAGAUGGAUCCGCGCCGCAUUAGCUAGUUGGUAAGGUAACGGCUUACCAAGGCAACGAUGCGUAGCCGACCUGAGAGGGGGAUCGGCCACACUGGAACUGAGACACGGUCCAGACUCCUACGGGAGGCAGCAGUAGGGAAUCUUCCGCAAUGGGCGAAAGCCUGACGGAGCAACGCCGCGUGAGUGAUGAAGGUCUUCGGAUCGUAAAACUCUGUUAUUAGGGAAGAACAAAUGUGUAAGUAACUAUGCACGUCUUGACGGUACCUAAUCAGAAAGCCACGGCUAACUACGUG
rnacentral:rRNA from 1 species